rnacentral:misc_RNA from 1 species
GAUGAAGAACGCAGCGAAAUGCGAUAAUUAAUGUGAAUUGCAGAAUUCCGUGAAUCAUCGAGUCUUUGAACGCACAUUGCGCCUCAUGGCAUUCCGUGAGGCAUGCCCAUCUCAGCGUUAGAAAAUAUUCUCAAAUUUUAGUUUUGUGCUAAAAUUUGGAUCAUGUCAAAGAAGCUAUUACUAUUAUUGUGAUCGCUCUUUGGAAAUUGAUAGGUCUUUGAGUUGCUACUCAUAGAACGUGAUGAAUCUUUCUUCGUUCUAUUGUAAUUCACUCUGGUAGUCCUAAAACUUGUAUGCCUGUGGCAUGUCUUGUAAUUUGACCUGAGAUUGGGUAGGGAUACCCGCUGAACUUAAGCAUAUCAAUAAGCGGAGGA